AUCCUACGGGAGGCAGCAGUAGGGAAUCUUCCACAAUGGACGAAAGUCUGAUGGAGCAACGCCGCGUGAGUGAAGAAGGGUUUCGGCUCGUAAAGCUCUGUUGGGAGUGAAGAAAGAUAGAGGUAGUAACUGGCCUUUAUUUGACGGUAAUUACUUAGAAAGUCACGGCUAACUACGUGCCAGCAGCCGCGGUAAUACGUAGGUGGCAAGCGUUGUCCGGAUUUAUUGGGCGUAAAGCGAGCGCAGGCGGUCUUUU
rnacentral:rRNA from 1 species